UGGGGAAUAUUGCACAAUGGGCGCAAGCCUGAUGCAGCCAUGCCGCGUGUGUGAAGAAGGCCUUCGGGUUGUAAAGCACUUUCAGCGAGGAGGAAGGUGGUGGACUUAAUACGUUCAUCAAUUGACGUUACUCGCAGAAGAAGCACCGGCUAACUCCGUGCCAGCAGCCGCGGUAAUACGGAGGGUGCAAGCGUUAAUCGGAAUUACUGGGCGUAAAGCGCACGCAGGCGGUUUGUUAAGUCAGAUGUGAAAUCCCCGGGCUCAACCUGGGAACUGCAUUUGAAACUGGCAAGCUAGAGUCUCGUAGAGGGGGGUAGAAUUCCAGGUGUAGCGGUGAAAUGCGUAGAGAUCUGGAGGAAUACCGGUGGCGAAGGCGGCCCCCUGGACGAAGACUGACGCUCAGGUGCGAAAGCGUGGGGAGCAAACAGGAUUAGAUGCCCUGGUAGUCCACGCUGUAAAGCGAUGUCGAUUUUGGAGGUUGUGCCCUUGAGGCGUGGCUUCCGGAGCUAACGCGUUAAAUCGACCGCCU
rnacentral:rRNA from 1 species